rnacentral:lncRNA from 1 species
CAAUGGUGUCAGUGACAGUGAUGGUGAUGGUCUUGCUCGCGCUAUUGCCGCUUUUGUCAGUGGCCGUGCAGGUGGCUACGGUGGUGCCGACGGGGUAGACGCCAGAGGUGGAGGGGGCCGCGGGGGAGUAGGUGGUGACAACGUUGAGGUUCGUGUCCACGUUGUCAGUGGCGGUGCAUGUGAAGGAGAUGCCGUCGGCGCCGCCAAGCGUGUUGCCCUCCUUGGUGAUGGCGUUGGUGCUGGAACUGACCGUUGGGGCUGUGUUAUCUGUGGGACAUGCAGGGUGGGGGGGAUUACACGAAUGCGUUUGCAUGUGCGUAAUUGGUGAUUACUAUGUAGCAGAAGCAAGCAAGUGUUCUUCCAAGGUCGGAGCCGCAACAUGCGAAGCCAGUAGGAUCCAUGCCCCGCCGUGCCCCGCCCUGCCUCACUCCGUUCCCCGCGCCCCGCCCCACUGCCACCCAACCCGACCCGACCCGAUCCAACCCAACCCAAGCAACCCGCCAAGACCCGACCCGACCUACAGCAACCCUUGCCCACCCUACCCUCCCCUCCCCGACCCACGUCUCACCGAGAACGACCACAGCGAAUGUCGCGGUGCCGGUAUUGGUUCCGUCAGACGCGGUGCAGGUGACAGUGGUGCUGCCAAAUGGGAAAGAGUCACCAGAGGCAUAGUCACACGAGGGCGUCACGGCACCAACCACGAUGUCAGUGGCGGUGACGGCCGACCAGGUGACAGCAGCAGUGCCGCUGGCCGAAGCGUACACGGACGCCGGCGAGGGGACCGUAAUGGCCGGCGCAAUGGUGUCAGUGACAGUAAUGGUGAUGGUCUUGCUCGCGCUAUUGCCGCUUUUGUCAGUGGCCGUGCAGGUGGCUACGGUGGUGCCGACGGGGUAGACGCCAGAGGUGGAGGGGGCCGCGGGGGAGUAGGUGGUGACAACGUUGAGGUUCGUGUCCACGUUGUCAGUGGCGGUGCAUGUGAAGGAGAUGCCGUCGGCGCCGCCAAGCGUGUUGCCCUCCUUGGUGAUGGCGUUGGUGCUGGUG